rnacentral:snRNA from 1 species
AGAAGUGAGGGUGAUCUGGCUGCGACAUCUGUCACCCCACUGGUCACCAGGGUUGAUUCAGUUGAUCUGGCUGGCUAGGCAGGUCUCCCCUUCCUCCCUCACCGCUCCAUGGGCGUCCCUCCCAAAGCUGGUGCUCGGUACAGAGGAAAACCUUCCCGGAAUGGAGGAGGACCAGUCUUUGGUCAAGGGUACACGAGGAGCUGCGCUCCCUGCUACAACCUCCAACUGAGCUCUAUCGGCCUCUCUCACUCUCAAAUAAAUAAAUAGAAAUAUUAAAAAAUAUUUUUGUUU